rnacentral:rRNA from 1 species
UAUUACCGCGGCUGCUGGCACGUAGUUAGCCGUCCCUUUCUGGGUAGUUACCGUCACUUGAUGAGCUUUCCACUCUCACCAACGUUCUUCUCUACCAACAGAGUUUUACGAUCCGAAAACCUUCUUCACUCACGCGGCGUUGCUCGGUCAGACUUUCGUCCAUUGCCGAAGAUUCCCUACUGCUGCCUCCCGUAGGAGU